UUCUUCUUUCAAUUGAUUUAC
rnacentral:piRNA from 1 species